CAGAGAGCGGAGGUACCGGACUAAUCCCCGCCCCCUAUCUAUGAAAGCUACCGUCUAAUCCCCGCCCCCAAAACGGUGCUACUCCGCCCCUUGCGGACUAUUACCGGCUAAAAUCCACCCCUAUCCGGUGGCACUUCCGAUUUACGCCCUGAACAAGGUGAUGACGGAGCUGGAGCAGCAGCAGUUUGAGUCUUUCUGUAAACAGAUGCAGACGUCCAGCAAGUGACGGGAAGAUGCGGCGCCAUUAGAUGAGGCCGUCCCGCUCAGAUCGCCAUGCUCUCCGCUUCUUACCCAUGACUUCAUUUUGCUUUGUAUUAUGUGGUGGAUCCGUGGAGCGGACAUUGCUGGAGACGUAUCGGGGUGAUUGAGCAGAAUGUGGGAGACGCAGGUGACCGGAUCACUCGUCGCACAAUCUUCGCGUGCCGCACCUUACAGAAGAGCGAUGAGACUGUGCGGCAACGAGUGAUCCGGCCAGCGCAGUCUCCAUGGAGCAUCACCAGUGUUAUAAUAAAAAUGGCCUACGUUUACACAGA